UGGCGCAUAGCUCAGUGGCAGAGCACCGUCUUCACACGGCGGGGGUCGUAGGUUCAAUCCCUACUGCGCCAACCA
rnacentral:tRNA from 1 species